rnacentral:rRNA from 1 species
CACCUGGGAGUACGACGCAAGGUUGAACUCAAAGGAAUUGACGGGGCCGCACAAGCAGUGGAGUAUGUGGUUUAAUUCGAAGCAACGCGAAGAACCUUACCAGGUCUUGACAUCGGAUGCAUAUCUAAGAGAUUAGAGAAGUCCUUCGGGACAUCCAGACAGGUGGUGCAUGGUUGUCGUCAGCUCGUGUCGUGAGAUGUUGGGUUAAGUCCCGCAACGAGCGCAACCCUUAUUACUAGUUACUACGCAAGAGGACUCUAGUGAGACUGCCGUUGACAAAACGGAGGAAGGUGGGGAUGACGUCAAAUCAUCAUGCCCCUUAUGACCUGGGCUACACACGUACUACAAUGGCGAUCAACAGAGGGAAGCAAAGCGGUGACGCAGAGCAAACCCCUAAAAAUCGUCCCAGUUCAGAUUGCAGGCUGCAACUCGCCUGCAUGAAGGCGGAAUUGCUAGUAAUCGCGGAUCAGCAUGCCGCGGUGAAUACGUUCCCGGGCCUUGUACACGUCGACGCGGCCG